rnacentral:rRNA from 1 species
UACAGAGGGUGCAAGCGUUAAUCGGAAUUACUGGGCGUAAAGCGCGCGUGGGUGGUUUGUUAAGUUGGAUGUGAAAUCCCCGGGCUCAACCUGGGAACUGCAUUCAAAACUGACUGACUAGAGUAUGGUAGAGGGUGGUGGAAUUUCCUGUGUAGCGGUGAAAUGCGUAGAUAUAGGAAGGAACACCAGUGGCGAAGGCGACCACCUGGACUAAUACUGACACUGAGGUGCGAAAGCGUGGGGAGCAAACAGG